rnacentral:rRNA from 1 species
GGCGGACGGGUGAGUAACACGUGACCAACCUACCUCCAGGUGGGGGACAACCCGGGGAAACCUGGGCUAAUACCGCAUGAUAUCCAGAUCUCGCAUGAGGACUGGAUCGAAGAUGGCCUCUGCUUGCAAGCUAUCACCUGGGGAGGGGGUCGCGGCGUAUCAGCUUGUUGGUGAGGUAACGGCUCACCAAGGCUACGACGCGUAGCGGGUCUGAGAGGACGACCCGUCACAUUGGGACUGGGAUACGGCCCAGACUCCUACGGGAGGCAGCAGUGGGGAAUUUUGCGCAAUGGUCGAAAGACUGACGCAGCGACGCCGCGUGUGGGAGGAAGCCCUUCGGGGUGUAAACCACUGUCAGGGGGGAAGAACCCUCAUCCUGCGAAUAGCUGGGUGAGCUGACGGUACCCCCAGAGGAAGCGCCGGCUAACUCCGUGCCAGCAGCCGCGGUAAGACGGAGGGCGCAAGCGUUGUUCGGAAUUACUGGGCGUAAAGCGCGGGCAGGUGGUCUGUUAAGUCUUCUGUGAAACUCCGGAGCUCAACUCCGGACAUGCA